CAUCUUUGUUUUGUUUUUUUUAAAACAAAACACUGAAGGGGGGAGGGGGGACUAAAUUUGUGUGAAAUCAGAUCAUCAGUGACGUCACGUAAGAAUAUCAGCAACAAAUAGAGACGGAGAAAUGUGUGAAACCAACAUUUUCUUCCGUGAUACAUUUGAAUUUGGCCGACGCGUUUCGUGCGGGAUACAACAACGAAUUUGGUUGCUGUGUCUGUUGAACUGUCACUCAUUUCCAAAUGGUGCCAAAUGUUUUGGUUUUUGGGAAAUCUGAUGGGGAUCGUCCUUGGGCCUUUCCCUCUCAGUUCGCCGAAAUUCGUCGUCGAUGGUGUACAGAACACAGGAGCAAUGUCAAAUCGGAAAUGUCCAUAUUGUUAAUCCAAGGAUUCAAUUCAACACCUUCAUUAUCCUACCCUUUGAUUGUGCAUAUGUACAAUUCAAAAUGACCUCAAGAAUUAAAACGAAACUGUUUAUGGAUCUCCUGAAUGCCAUUGCCAAAAAGAAAUUUGGAUAUUUUUGGUUAUGAGGCCAAUUUUUUUAUCUUGUUUUCUCUCUCGCUCUCUUGAAAUUUGAAUAAACCCAAGUCCUUGAUAUAUGGCUUUCUUUACAAAAUCAGAGCUAAAUAAACUAGUUUUCGCGUUU